rnacentral:rRNA from 1 species
AGCGACGCCGCGUGAGGGAUGACGGCCUUCGGGUUGUAAACCUCUUUCAGUAGGGAAGAAGCGAAAGUGACGGUACCUGCAGAAGAAGCGCCGGCUAACUACGUGCCAGCAGCCGCGGUAAUACGUAGGGCGCAAGCGUUAUCCGGAAUUAUUGGGCGUAAAGAGCUCGUAGGCGGUUUGUCGCGUCUGCCGUGAAAGUCCGGGGCUCAACUCCGGAUCUGCGGUGGGUACGGGCAGGCUAGAGUGAUGUAGGGGAGACUGGAAUUCCUGGUGUAGCGGUGAAAUGCGCAGAUAUCAGGAGGAACACCGAUGGCGAAGGCAGGUCUCUGGGCAUUAACUGACGCUGAGGAGCGAAAGCAUGGGGAGCGAACAGGAUUAGAUACCCUGGUAGUCCAUGCCGUAAACGUUGGGCACUAGGUGUGGGGGACAUUCCACGUUUUCCGCGCCGUAGCUAACGCAUUAAGUGCCCCGCCUGGGGAGUACGGCCGCAAGGCUAAAACUCAAAGGAAUUGACGGGGGCCCGCACAAGCGGCGGAGCAUGCGGAUUAAUUCGAUGCAACGCGAAGAACCUUACCAAGGCUUGACAUGGGCCGGAUCGCCGCAGAGAUGUGGUUUCUCCUUUUGGGGCCGGUCCACAGGUGGUGCAUGGUUGUCGUCAGCUCGUGUCGUGAGAUGUUUGGGUAAGGUCCCGAAACGAGCGCAACCCUCGUUACAGUGUGG